rnacentral:tRNA from 1 species
GGUCCCUUAGUUCAACGGAUAGAACGGAGGUUUCCUAAACCUUAAAUAGUGGUUCGAUUCCACUAGGGACUA